rnacentral:rRNA from 1 species
GCAUCAUUUGACGUUAGCGACAGAAGAAGCACCGGCUAACUCCGUGCCAGCAGCCGCGGUAAUACGGAGGGUGCGAGCGUUAAUCGGAAUUACUGGGCGUAAAGCGCAUGCAGGUGGUUUGUUAAGUCAGAUGUGAAAGCCCGGGGCUCAACCUCGGAAUAGCAUUUGAAACUGGCAGACUAGAGUACUGUAGAGGGGGGUAGAAUUUCAGGUGUAGCGGUGAAAUGCGUAGAGAUCUGAAGGAAUACCGGUGGCGAAGGCGGCCCCCUGGACAGAUACUGACACUCAGAUGCGAAAGCGUGGGGAGCAAACAGGAUUAGAUACCCUGGUAGUCCACGCCGUAAACGAUGUCUACUUGGAGGUUGUGGCCUUGAGCCGUGGCUUUCGGAGCUAACCGCGUUAAG